GGUCGACCUAGCAAUGCAUUGAUAUUGCUGAUUUAUAAAGGUUAUUACUCUAUUAUAAAGAUUCAGUACAAAUGGAAGGCUAGUACAAGAUAUGUAUGUAUGUAUGUAUGUAUGUAUGUAUGUAUGUAUGUAUAUAUAAUAUAUAUGUAUGUAUGUAUGUAUGUAUAUAUAAUAAUAUUUGUGAUAUAUGAUGGUUGUUUUAAUAUCAAUAAUAUUGCUCUAAAAAAAUAAAAUUUGCAGGAUAGUACAAUAUAUAUGCAGCAGUAGCAGUUGAGGUAGUGAGGCGGUGGUGGCGAAGGUGGCAAUGGUGGCGGUGGUAGCAAGGCAAUAAUAUUUGUGAUAUAUAAUGGUUGUUUAAUAUUAAUAAUAUUGCUCUAAAAAAAUAAAAUUUGCAGGAUAGUACAAUAUAUAUGCAGCAGUAGCAGUUGAGGUAGUAAGGCGGUGGUGGCAGUGGUGGCGAAGGUGGCAAUGGUGGCGGUGGUAGCAAGCCAAUAAUAUUUGUGAUAUAUAAUGGUUGUUUAAUAUUAAUAAUAUUGCUCUAAAAAAAUAAAAUUUGCAGGAUAGUACAAGUACAAUAUAUAUGCAGCAGUAGCAGUUGA